GGGGAUGAAAGGAUUUCGACGGGGGUUUUGAACUGAGAUAAGCGAGCAGCGGUGCGGGUCCGCUAUAAAAUCCGCAAGUUAUUAAAAUAACUAACAACAAUAAAACUGUACUCGCAGCUGCUUAAUUAGCGCUGCCGUUCCAACCGGGAGCACCGCGGCCCGGAUUGGAGCGUCAUUUAGCGGUGAACGUGAACAGGGCAGCGUCUCGUAACCUGUCAUGACACACGGGGCUACCCGCACAUGUUGCCUGCCGUUUGGCGGCGUGUGAGGGGAAUGUUAUAAAGCGGCUACGCUCGUAGAAAGUUUUGGGAAUGGGCUUUCGGACGCGGUUUCGACUACCGCCAUCUCCACCA
rnacentral:tmRNA from 1 species